GAUGAACGCUAGCGGCAGGCCUAACACAUGCAAGUCGAGGGGUAGAAGGCUUCGGCCUUUGAGACCGGCGCACGGGUGCGUAACGCGUAUGCAAUCUGCCUUACACUGGGGAUAGCGCAGAGAAAUGUGGCUUAAUACCCCAUAGUAUUUUUGCCUGGCAUCAGGUGAUUAUUACAGUUUUUCGGUGUAAGAUGAGCAUGCGUCCCAUUAGCUAGUUGGUAUGGUAACGGCAUACAAAGGGAAUGAUGGGUAGGGGUCCUGAGAGGGAGAUCCCCCACACUGGUACUGAGACACGGACCAGACUCCGACGGGAGGCAGCAGUGAGGAAUAUUGGUCAAUGGGCGAGAGCCUGAACCAGCCAUGCCGCGUGCAGGAUGAAGCAUCUAUGGUGUGUAAACUGCUUUUGUACGGGAAGAAACACCUCUACGUGUAGAGGCUUGACGGUACCGUAAGAAUAAGGAUCGGCUAACUCCGUGCCAGCCGCCGCUGUAA
rnacentral:rRNA from 1 species